UCUCGCUCUCGUUUUUAUUAGAUUGUGAGGCUGGGGUCUACAUCUCCUGCUUGCGUUCUUAAUCUAUGUGCAUCAGGCUUGUGGUCUCUACUGGUUUCCUUAUUUGUUUAUUUUCUGUGCUUGUGAGGCCGGGGUCUCUCUUGCUUUCAACCUUUUUAUUAGCUUGUGAGGUUGGGACAUUUCUCCUAUUUUGGAUCUUUUAUCUUUUCCCGUGAGGCUGGGGUCUCUUGUCAGCAUACUCAAUGAGCUUGAAGCUAGGGGCUCUCUCGGGGGCGCGCGCUACCUCUAUGAAUUUGUGAGGCCGGGACCUUUUCCCGAGUUUGUUUAUGAAGCGGGGCCCUCAACCUCUUUGAGGACGGGGGCUCCGUUUCGCUUUUUCUUUGUGAGCCUAGGGGUGGGGGGAUGUCUCCUUCUCUUACUCUCGCCUUUGAGCGUGCGCGUGUGCGUGCGUGCGUGCGUGCGUGAGUCUGGGGUCUCUGGCUCGUACCUUCUUUGUAAUCGAGGCCCGGGACUUUCUUGGCUAUGACUUUACUUUCUUUGAGUGUGAGAGCCUGGGGUCUUCUUUGAUUCACUUUUCCUCACUCCUUUGGGGUGUGCGCGGGCUUGUGAAGCUGGUUGGUCCCUUCCACGCACGCUUUCCUUGGCUCUCAGUUCAAGUGAGGCUGGGGGCACCCGUGAAUGUUUGGAUACAGCCGCGGACUGAAAAAACCCUAGCGGGUUUUGCUAGCUGGUCUGGGUUCAACACCCUUUGAAAGUUUAAUCAGAAGUGGCCAUUAGACUCGCGUAACCCAUUGGUUCCUUAUAGAAAAUGUAAAAGACCCCCAGAGAGCGGGAACAGAUACUUUAUAAUCUUUAAAUGAAGGAAUCCUUUAGGAGACCGAGAAAACAAGCCUAAUAUGUGAUCAGUGGUGGGUCCGAAGACUUCCCAAAAUAUAGGGGGGCAAUUUUCAGGAUCCCAAGUGCACUUGGGCAAACUUUCCAGUUGCCUCCCUUCUCCCCCUCAGAGAAAGUGCAAAGAAAUGCAGAUUAGCCCGCAGACCACCGGGACAAUGCCCAAUUGCCUACUGCUGCUGUCCCAACCCAAGCACUGCCCUACCUCCAAAGGAGGAAGAGGAAGAGAAAGAGGAAGAGACACCAAACAAGAAAGAAACAGCACGGAGGAUAAAGCAAGAACUUAGAAAAUUUCACCACCUCAUAGUGAUCCACAAGCUGCAACCUACCUUCCAAAGGCCGCUUCCAGAAAACUUUAAGUCAUCCUCAAGGAUCUUGUACGAUUAUUGCACAUCCAUGGGAGAUUCAAGUUGGUGAGAGAUUCUUUAAGAUAAGAUAACUGGAGUCUACUAGAGAAGUUAAGUCCCUUCUCCAGCAUCACACAGGUACAGAAUUUGAGCUGAGCCUCUCUAACUCUAAAGUGAGCACUCUUUAUGCUAUGCCAUGAAUCCAACAAGCUUUUUUACUUUGUUUAUUAUAUUUAUUACUUAUAUUAUAUUUAUGACUUCUAAUUUUUUAAAUUUCUCUUCAAAUCUCCUAUUGAGCAUCAAUUCCCUAACCUUUACACCAUAAAAUACAGAAAUACAGUUUCCAAAGAAUAUUGAGGCCAUCUAAGAACUUCCUUAAUUGUUUUUUUCUACUCUUCUAAACCUUUGAGCAUCAUCAUUCACUUUCUCCUCUUACUCUCUCUUAUAAGGAAAAAAUAUAUCAUAAUAUGUUAUUUAAUGCUACUCCCUCUGCUUGUAUUCGCCUGACCCUUAGCACAUAAUAGGUGCUUAAUAAAUUCUAUGACUGCCUCUGGAUCUUGUUGUAU
rnacentral:lncRNA from 1 species